GAUGAAGAACACAGCGAAAUGCGAUACGUAAUGUGAAUUGCAAAUUCAGUGAAUCAUCGAGUCUUUGAACGCACAUUGCGCCCCCUGGUAUUCCGGGGGGCAUGCCUGUCCGAGCGUCAUUGCUGCCCUCAAGCACGGCUUGUGUGUUGGGCCCCGUCCUCCGAUCCCGGGGGACGGGCCCGAAAGGCAGCGGCGGCACCGCGUCCGGUCCUCGAGCGUAUGGGGCUUUGUCACCCGCUCUGUAGGCCCGGCCGGCGCUUGCCGAUCAACCCAAAUUUUUAUCCAGGUUGACCUCGGAUCAGGUAGGGAUACCCGCUGAACUUAAGCAUAUCAAUAAGCGGAGGA
rnacentral:misc_RNA from 1 species